rnacentral:rRNA from 1 species
UACGUAGGGCGCAAGCGUUGUCCGGAAUUAUUGGGCGUAAAGAGCUCGUAGGCGGUUUGUCGCGUCUGUCGUGAAAGCCCACGGCUUAACCGUGGGUCUGCGGUGGAUACGGGCAGACUAGAGGCAGGUAGGGGAGAACGGAAUUCCCGGUGUAGCGGUGAAAUGCGCAGAUAUCGGGAGGAACACCGGUGGCGAAGGCGGGUCUCUGGGCCGUAACUGACGCUGAGGAGCGAAAGCAUGGGUAGCGAACAGG